rnacentral:rRNA from 1 species
GGCCUACCAUGGUGGUAACGGGUAACGGGGUGUUAGGGCACGACACCGGAGAGGGAGCCUGAGAAACGGCUACCACAUCCAAGGAUGGCAGCAGGCGCGCAAAUUACCCAAUCCCGACACGGGGAGGUAGUGACAAUAAAUAACAAUACGGGGUUCUUUCGGAUCUCGUAAUUGGAAUGAGUACAAUUUAAAUCUCUUAACGGGGAACAAUUGGAGGGCAAGUCUGGUGCCAGCAGCCGCGGUAAUUCCAGCUCCAAUAGCGUAUAUUAAAGUUGUUGCAGUUAAAAAGCUCGUAGUUGAAUUUCGGGGUCAGCAGGUUGGUCGUGCCAAUGGUAUGCACUGGCCUUGCUGAUUCCUCCCUCUUGAUGAGCCGUAAUGCCAUUAAUUUGGUGUUGCGGGGAAUCAGGACUGUUACUUUGAAAAAAUUAGAGUGUUUAAAGCAGGCAAGCGCUUGAAUACAUUAGCAUGGAAUAAUGAAAUAGGACGUUCGAUCCUAUUUUGUUGGUUUCUAGGAUUGACGUAAUGAUUAAUAGGGAUAGUUGGGGGCAUUAGUAUUCAAUUGUCAGAGGUGAAAUUCUUGGAUUUAUUGAAGACUAACUACUGCGAAAGCAUUUGCCAAGGAUGUUUUCAUUAAUCAAGAACGAAAGUUAGGGGAUCGAAGACGAUCAGAUACCGUCGUAGUCUUAACCAUAAACUAUGCCGACUAGGGAUCGGAUGAUGUUAAUUUUUUAAUGACUCAUUCGGCGCCUUACG